UUUUGGACAAUGGGCGAAAGCCUGAUCCAGCAAUGCCGCGUGUGGGAAGAAGGCCUUCGGGUUGUAAACCACUUUUGUACGGAACGAAAAGGUCUGCCCUAAUACGGUGGGCUCAUGACGGUACCGUAAGAAUAAGCACCGGCUAACUACGUGCCAGCAGCCGCGGUAAUACGUAGGGUGCGAGCGUUAAUCGGAAUUACUGGGCGUAAAGCGCGCGUAGGCGGUUUUUUAAGUCAGAGGUGAAAGCCCAGUGCUCAACACUGGAACUGCCUUUGAAACUGGAAAACUUGAAUCUUGGAGAGGUCAGUGGAAUUCCGAGUGUAGAGGUGAAAUUCGUAGAUAUUCGGAAGAACACCAGUGGCGAAGGCGACUGACUGGACAAGUAUUGACGCUGAGGGCGAAA
rnacentral:rRNA from 1 species